UCCUAUGGUGAACACCGAAAAACUCUGGAUCUCAAACACCUUCUGCUUCCGUAAAAUGCUCCUCUAAAGCACCAUUGACGAGUGCCAAUCUUCAGGUCAAGCUCGCCGAAGAAGCGAAGUCAGAACACUUCCAAGCUCCCUCCUCGUUCCGCGACUUCAGCUUAGACUUUUCUCCGACCCCCUCUUCAGCUAAUUGUGCGUGCCUCAUGCUGGGUUUGGCUUAGGUUUUGAAAGGUUAGUGCAGUUUGCAACUACCUUUCCCACGAACGCCUGGAUCUGCUGAAUUUUAGUGUCGCCGACUUCAGAGAUGCAGUAAUUUUGAUUCAGCCUUGGUAGUCGGUACCCAUCAAGGCUUAUCCUCCUGAGUUUGGCAUUGUAUUUUGAUUAGAAGAUUCAAGUUCAGAUUCAAGUUCAGAUUCGAACAGGUUCUAACACGAUUCCCAAGAAGAAGAAGCCAGUCAUUGCUGUGAAGAUGGUUUUUGAAUUGAAGACUACAAGGCCUAUCGUGCUCAUGUUUUGUUCUAGAUGGGAAUCGUGCUCAUAUUUUUGUAUAGAACUUUACUACUCUUUAUUGUGGAUGGGAAAUCACUAGUAUUGUAACUGAAUGGCUUAUUUUGGAUGGUGCAUGGUUUAUGACUCAUUUGAGGCAACAUUUAUAUAUAUAUGUAUUUGGGUUGAUCUUCUAUUGGAAAUGAAUGUUGGUUUUCUUUUCGUA